CAUGCGCAGAUGUUAAUUCCGCCUCGCGAAAACAUUCAAAACAAAAACACUCGAAACGAAAAUAAAAUAUUCACCACCACCUGGUUUGCCAACAUCGUCUUUACAAGGAAUGUCCAGCAGUGCAUGACAGAGGCCGGUCACUCCCAUUAAGUCCAGCUGAAGAGCCUUCCCAGUUCAUAGGACAAAAUGCAGUUACACAGAUUUUAACGGUGUUGGAAACAAUGAGAGACGAGAACAGGGAAAUGAAGUGGAUGCUGCAGCGGCUCUUGGCUAGGUCAGCUUCUGAUGACAAGCCAAUGCAACUGCCAGAGAACAUCAGUCUACCAAUUGGAACACUUGAGCAAAUGGAUGAGUUUGAAGAGCAUCUUGGUGAUGAAGCUACGAUCCAUCUUUUCUAGGACUGCUGCAUAGUUCAAGCUUUUUUAUCAAAUAUAUUAAGCAAUGUUGUAAAUGUAUUUGACAGUUCUUUCUCCAUUGAUCCUAAACCAUUCCUUUAAGGCUCAUCUUCUAAGAAAGCAUACAAUCUUUUUGAUCUGGAAAUGAAAUGGUAUAUAUUCCUUUGCAAAAGAAGAAACAGCAUUCCAGUUUUUGAAGGUUUUAAAAGAUAUAUAUAUAUAUAUAUCAUGUGCAAUUAUGAAAUACACUAGAAUAUAUGAAGAUAUCAAAGAUAAUAAUAUGGACUUGUUCUCGAACAAGGAUUUUCCAUUUAUUUGAGUUUUGGAUUUUUUUGCAGGGUUUUUAAUUUCUAGUUUUUAUUUAAUGCUUUCCGGUGGUUUAUAGAGAAAUAUCAGUGAAUUAAAACUGGUUCAAACAGUGAAAAUUAUCAGUGAGAAUUAUCGAUAAUUUUCAUUGUUUACUGUGAAAUGAUGUCAUUUUUUGACGAAAUGACGUCAUUAUCCCAGCAAAAUUCUUUAGUUAAACUCUUUAACAAUGUAUAUAAACGGUGAAAAAUGCAUUAAAUAAAAAGAAAAUUUGUUGGAUUUGGUGGAUUAUCGAUUUUAAUUAACUCGUGUUCAUAGAGAAUAUAUAUUUUCUAUGAUCACUCGUGAAUUAAAAUCGAUAAUCCACCGGAUCCAACAAAUAUCCUCUAUAUAAAAUAUUUUGUUUAGUCUUGCAAGUAUGUUUUCUACAAAUGUUCCUUGAGUACAUGGUGU